AACGCACAUUGCGCCCAUUGGUAUUCCGAUGGGCAUGCCUGUUCGAGCGUCAUUAUCAACCCUCAAGCCCCUUUGGCUUGGUGUUGGAGACUGGCGGGGCGCAUGCGCCCGGAGCCACUCCCAAAUACAAUGACGGCGGCGACGAUGACCCCCGGUACACUGAGCUUCUCACCGAGCACGUGCUGGAAGGGUCUUGUGGCCACGGUCUGCCUCCCCUCUGGGAGAAACGGAUUUCAUCCACCAAGGUUGACCUCGGAUCAGGUAGGGAUACCCGCUGAACUUAA
rnacentral:misc_RNA from 1 species